UACAGAGGUCUCGAGCGUUGUUCGGAUUCAUUGGGCGUAAAGGGUGCGUAGGUGGCGCCGUAAGUCGGGUGUGAAAUUUCGGAGCUUAACUCCGAAACUGCAUUCGAUACUGCGGUGCUUGAGGACUGGAGAGGAGACUGGAAUUCAUGGUGUAGCAGUGAAAUGCGUAGAGAUCAUGAGGAAGACCAGUGGCGAAGGCGGGUCUCUGGACAGUUCCUGACACUGAGGCACGAAGGCCAAGGGAGCAAACGGG
rnacentral:rRNA from 1 species